rnacentral:tRNA from 1 species
GGAUUGUGGCUCAGUGGUAUUGUGCUCACCUCGCGCAUGUGAGGCCCUGGGUUCGAUUCUCAGCACCA